UACGUAGGGUGCGAGCGUUAAUCGGAAUUACUGGGCGUAAAGCGUGCGCAGGCGGUUUUGUAAGCCAGAUGUGAAAUCCCCGGGCUUAACCUGGGAAUGGCAUUUGGGACUGCAAGGCUGGAGUACGGCAGAGGAGACUGGAAUUCCUGGUGUAGCAGUGAAAUGCGUAGAGAUCAGGAGGAAUACCGAUGGCGAAGGCAGGUCUCUGGGCUGAUACUGACGCUCAUGCACGAAAGCGUGGGGAGCAAACAGGAUUACGAAACCCCGAGU
rnacentral:rRNA from 1 species